rnacentral:rRNA from 1 species
UUGAACUUGAGAGUUUGAUCCUGGCUCAGGACGAACGCUGGCGGCAUGCCUAACACAUGCAAGUCGAACGGGGAUAGCAAUAUCCUAGUGGCGAACGGGUGAGUAACGCGUGAGCAACCUGCCUUGUACAACGGGAUACCUGAGGGAAACUUCAGUUAAUACGGUAUAAGACCACACUACCGCAUGGUAGAGGGGUAAAAGGAGAAAUCCGGUAUAAGAUGGGCUCGCGUCGCAUUAGCUAGUUGGUGGGGUAACGGCUCACCAAGGCGACGAUGCGUAGCCGACCUGAGAGGGUGAUCGGCCACAUUGGGACUGAGAUACGGCCCAGACUCCUACGGGAGGCAGCAGUGGGGAAUAUUGGGCAAUGGAGGAAACUCUGACCCAGCAAUGCCGCGUGAAUGAAGAAGGUCUUCGGAUUGUAAAGUUCUUUAGUUAGGGAAGAAGAAAAUGACGGUACCUAAAGAAUAAGCCCCGGCUAACUACGUGCCAGCAGCCGCGGUAAUACGUAGGGGGCAAGCGUUGUUCGGAAUGACUGGGCGUAAAGGGUGCGUAGGCGG